rnacentral:rRNA from 1 species
UACGUAGGGGGCUAGCGUUGUUCGGAUUCAUUGGGCGUAAAGGGUGCGUAGGCGGCGGGGUAAGUUUGAUGUGAAAUCCCGGGGCUCAACCCCGGAAUUGCAUUGAAUACUACCUUGCUAGAGUACCGGAGAGGAAACUGGAAUUUACGGUGUAGCAGUGAAAUGCGUAGAGAUCGUAAGGAAGACCAGUGGCGAAGGCGAGUUUCUGGACGGUAACUGACGCUGAGGCACGAAGGCCAGGGGAGCAAACGGG